rnacentral:rRNA from 1 species
CAGCACCUCAAGUGGUCAGGAUGAUUAUUGGGCCUAAAGCAUCCGUAGCCGGCGCUGUAAGUUUUCGGUUAAAUCUGUACGCUCAACGUACAGGCUGCCGGGAAUACUGCAGCGCUAGGGAGUGGGAGAGGUAGACGGUACUCGGUAGGAAGGGGUAAAAUCCUUUGAUCUAUUGAUGACCACCUGUGGCGAAGGCGGUCUACCAGAACACGUCCGACGGUGAGGGGUGAAAGCUGGGGGAGCAAACCGGAUUAGAUACCCGAGUAGUCC